GCCUGGGUGGCUCAGUCAGUUAAGCGUCUGACUUCAGCUCAGGCCAUGAUCUCACUGCUUGUGAGUUCGAGCCCCGCAUCAGGCU
rnacentral:tRNA from 1 species